rnacentral:rRNA from 1 species
AAUGGGCGCAAGCCUGAUCCAGCAAUGCCGCGUGCAGGAAGAAGGCCUUCGGGUUGUAAACUGCUUUUGUCAGGGAAGAAAUCCUUUGGGCUAAUACCUCGGAGGGAUGACGGUACCUGAAGAAUAAGCACCGGCUAACUACGUGCCAGCAGCCGCGGUAAUACGUAGGGUGCGAGCGUUAAUCGGAAUUACUGGGCGUAAAGCGUGCGCAGGCGGCUUUGCAAGACAGAGGUGAAAUCCCCGGGCUCAACCUGGGAACUGCCUUUGUGACUGCAAGGCUAGAGUACGGCAGAGGGGGAUGGAAUUCCGCGUGUAGCAGUGAAAUGCGUAGAUAUGCGUACUGACGCUCAUGCACGAAAGCGUGGGGAGCAAACAGGAUU